UGCUCGCCAGCAGUAUAGUUUUAGGAUCGUUAGGUUGCACCUACAUAUACAUGUGUGAGUGCACAUGAACGAGUUACUCUACUAGGAGGUUUCAUGCUCGCCAUCAAAUGAUCAAGCAAAAUACAGCCAAAGAUAUUCAGGCUUGAGCGGGCAUUAGGAAGUCACAAUGCCCGAGAUAGGUUCCAUCUACUCCCAUGCACAAAUUGCACUCAUUUUCCUAGGUACGUACCACCUUUUCCUUGCAAUCUAGGAGGAACAGGUAGGCAUGCGUAUGGAUGCGGACAUGCAAUUUGUUAUGUAAAUUCCGUUGCGUUGCAACCAAUGACAUGUUAUUUUGUGUUUCUUAAUUAAUUGGGCACGGUCAGUAUUAGUAGGUUACGU
rnacentral:lncRNA from 1 species